GUUAUGUUUAACAAAGGUUCAGGAAAUAUUAGCGUUCAAGAACUCGCCGUCGAACCUAAAAAACACAUUGAGAGAAAGCAUGUAUACAAUCUUAAGUAUGGAGAACUAUCUGCAAACACACUGAAGAGAGAACAUGCCCCUAAGACUCCUUCCACCAUCAAGCAGAGCACAUUACUGAAGACGGUGUCACAGGAAUCCUUCGACAAAGAUGUGGUCCAAUGGCUCCAACCAUUAGAUGUUGCAGAACAAGAACCAUAAAGAGAGUUUGUCCAUUAUCUGCAGCUUAACUCAAAUAUCUUAUCAAGGCCCCCACUGCGCUUCAGGAUUGAAGCCUCCAAGGAAAUGAAGAAGAAGGUGACUGAAGCCAUGAGAGGAGUUGACCAAAUCGCCACCACCGACUGCUGGUCUGCAAGAAGCCGGAGCUUCAUUGGUGUUACAGCCCACAAGAUAGACCCUGACAGUCUCAACACAUGCUCUGCAGCCCUGGCCUGUAAACGGUUGAGAAGAUCGCACACCUUUGAUGUGUUGGCAGGCGCCCUAAAUGACAUCCAUUUUGAGUUUGAAAUCUGAGUUAAGAUUGUGAGAACAACAACAGACAAGGGCUCUGACUUCAUUAAAGCUUUCCCAGUUUUUGGAGAAGAUGAAAACAAUGAGGUAGUGUGUGGUGAAGCAGCUCAGACAGGACAGGAAGAUGGUGAAGAGGAACAAGAAGAGAGUGAAGAAGUGGAGUUUGUUGAUGUGGCAACGAUCCUGAAUGAAGAUGAUAGUUUUGAGUACCAGCUGCCGAAGCACCAGCUCAGUGCUUGCCACCUACUCAACUUAGUGUCUACAGUUGAUGCCCUGAAAGCAACAUUCAGUGAGGCUUACAAAAAAGUGUCCCGUUCAACAUUUGGCAAGUGCCAGCACUUUGGAACAAAUGCGGAACAUCCACACUUGCAGCCGAAAAGGUUGAAGAUGCUAGCGCCCUCCAGCUGCUGUGCCUGAAUGCUACAAGGUGGAACUCCUGGAUCAUGACUGUAGAAAGACUCCUGAGGAUCGUCAAAGACAAAGGAGAGGCAGUCGUCUGAGUUCUCUGCAAAGACUUCCGAGGUUCCAAUGUUCAAUGCAUCUGAACUCGCCUUCAUCACAGAGUAUGCUGCCACCAUGAGCCCAGUCGCAAAGGCCAUCAACAUCCUGCAGGCUGAAACCAAUGUCCAGAUGGAGUGGCUACUUCCAACUAUCAACCUGAUGAUCACAAAAGCGAAUCAAGUUGUCCCUGAAGUACUGUAAGCCUCUGGUGGAUGCGCUACAACUGGGACUGAAGAAGCACUUCGGCCAGAAUGUUUCACGACCCUGAGCUGAUACCAGCUGCAAUCCUUCUCCCCGAAUUCAAAACAACGUCAACAAAGGAUGACGCCACCAUUAGAAUGGGAAUGGACUACAUCAAGGACCACCUGGAAGAACCCUUGCUGCAGCUGGGUUAUGGCACCAGUUCAUCAAAUGAGAAUGACUUCUCUGCCAUGAAAACAUCUCAAGCAUAAGAAAGCUCCAAACAGCUGGACGAAUACCUGGCCUGUUCAGCUGAUCAUAUGGAGUUGCUCAAGUCCUUCCCGCAGUCUGUAAGCUGUCUCUGAGGUUAAACGCAUCCUUACCUGUAUUAGCUGCCUGUGAAAGGCUGUUCAGCAUUGCAGGACUUGUUUUCAGCCCCAGGAGAGCAAGGCUGGAUUCCAGAAACUUUGAAAACAAUAUUUUAUUGAAGAUGAACUGUAAAUUCUUCAACUUCAAGUAAUGACUGCUUAACACUAGCAAGCCCGAGGACAUGGAUGCCUUAUGCAUUUUGUUAAAUUGUUUAAAAUUCACAAGUUAUAGGUGUCCUUGUUACAAAGGCAUGACCUGAUACACUGAUUUUAAUACAGUUCCAUCAGUGGUGAUGUCCUCAUAUCCCCACACUGAGUUUGUGUGUACUUUGGAUGAGCUAAACAUUUUAUUUUUAUGUAUAGGGUUCUAUUAUAUGAUUUUUUUUUUCUAAAGCAAAGUGUCAGUGAUUGUAAGUUUUUAAGUGUACUGGCUAUAUUCUUUCAUUAUUAAGGCAUAAUUCUAUUUUGUCUGUAAAAGAUGCAUUUUGAAGUGUUUCCUAUUUGAGAAUCCACUUUUAUUUAUUUAUCUGAGCUCUUCUUGCAUCCGUAAGUAAGACUGUUACCUUUUAGAAAAGCUCAAACUGAAUAAAAGUUCUGUCUUUUUUGCUUUUUG